rnacentral:rRNA from 1 species
AACGAACGCUGGCGGCAGGCCUAACACAUGCAAGUCGAGCGGACCCUUCGGGGUUAGCGGCGGACGGGUGAGUAACGCGUGGGAACGUGCCCUUUGCUUCGGAAUAGCCCUGGGAAACUGGGAGUAAUACCGGAUACGCCCUUUUGGGGAAAGAUUUAUCGGCGAAGGAUCGGCCCGCGUUGGAUUAGGUAGUUGGUGGGGUAAUGGCCUACCAAGCCGACGAUGCAUAGCUGGUGGGAGAGGAUGAUAAGCCACACUGGAGAUGCGACACGGCCCAGAAUCGUACGGAGGGCAGCAGUGGGGAAUCUUAGACAAUGGAGGAAGCCCUGAUCUAGCCGCGCCGGGGGAGCGAUGAAGGCGUUAGGGUUGUAAAGCUCUUUGUGCGGGGAAGAUAGUGACGGUACCCGGUAAAGAAGCCCCGGCUAACUCCGUG